rnacentral:tRNA from 1 species
ACCCUGUGGUACAGGGGCUAAUAUGCUGGGCCUUUACCACUUCAGCCCAGGUUCGAUUCCUGGUCAGGGAA